rnacentral:rRNA from 1 species
GGGCCCGCACAAGCGGUGGAGUAUGUGGUUUAAUUCGACGCAACGCGCAGAACCUUACCCGGCCUUGACAUCCUUGGAAUCCUUCCGAAAAGAAGGAGUGUCCCCUCACGGGGAAGCCAAGUGACAGGUGCUGCAUGGCUGUCGUCAGCUCGUGUCGUGAGAUGUUCGGUUAAGUCCGGCAACGAGCGCAACCCCUGUCGUUAGUUGCCAUCAAUUCGGUUGGGCACUCUAGCGAGACUCCCGGUGUUAAGCCGGCGGAAGAUGGGGAUGACGUCAAGUCCUCAUGGCCCUUAUGGUCGGGGCUACACACGUACUACAAUGGCGACUACAGAGGGUAGCAAUAUCGCGAGAUGGAGCCAAUCCCAAAAAGUCGCCUCAGUUCAGAUUGGAGUCUGCAACUCGACUCCAUGAAGUCGGAAUCGCUAGUAA